UGGCGGACGGGUGAGUAAUGUCUGGGAAACUGCCUGAUGGAGGGGGAUAACUACUGGAAACGGUAGCUAAUACCGCAUAACGUCGCAAGACCAAAGAGGGGGACCUUCGGGCCUCUUGCCAUCAGAUGUGCCCAGAUGGGAUUAGCUUGUUGGUGGGGUAACGGCUCACCAAGGCGACGAUCCCUAGCUGGUCUGAGAGGGUGACCGGCCACAUUGGGACUGAGAUACGGCCCAG
rnacentral:rRNA from 1 species